rnacentral:tRNA from 1 species
CCGGUGUAGCUCAGCGUGGUAGAGCGAUCGGCACGGGCCCGAUUGGACGCUGGUUCAACCCCAGCCACCGGCG